rnacentral:tRNA from 1 species
GGUCCCAUGGUGCAGCGGUCAGCACAUCUGGCACAUAUGAGGAGAGGCUGCUGGUUUGUACCGGCAACCUGCGAGUUCAGGCUCACUCCGUUUAUUGCACUUCCCCUCGCUGGGACUGUGGUCAGAGGACCUGCGUUCGAGUCGCAGUGGGGUCG